CAGAUGGAUAUGCUGUGAAACUUUCAAAAGCUGUGAAGUAGUCAAUCAAGUCAAUCAGCAAGACUUUUCUGGAAUUCAGAAUCCCAAGGGAUAUUUGGAAAAAACCUGAAGAAGGUAGUCUAACCUAUGCUCCAGCAAAAGAAUGAGAAACUUUUCUAUUUUAUUAGUGAUUUGAAUGUGCCUGAAGUGGAUAGAUAUGAAAUUGUUCAGCCUCAUGAUUUUGCAGCAUAUUGCUUAUGGACACUGGUCAUACUUCAUCCCAAGAAGAAAUAACACCAGGCAUCAGCUGAAUAUCUUGUUAAGGAAGAAGAUGUUAAGAGAAAAAAAAAAAGGAAGUGAUUCCUCAAAUCUGAAACCUCUCUGGCUUGGAGAAAUCAGUCAGGUCUAACUUGCGACAUUUUGCAGUAUUUGCCUCCAACUUCCUUUCUUCAGGUUCCCUGAUUACCAUCUAGAGAAAAACAGCUGGCUUCCACUUCCAGCAACAAGCUUUGCUCCACCAGUAAUCAAGAAUAUUUGAGCCAUAGUACUAGCAGAUAUAUAUCUUCACCAGGCAAAGAUUCAAAACUUCCCAGCAAUUGAUAUGAGGUUCCACUGCACCCU